rnacentral:rRNA from 1 species
AUGGACCGAAGUCCUUGCGGUCGAAGAGCAAAACUCGAACGCCCCUCCAAGAGCUACCCAAAGCGCAGGUUGCUACCCCGAUUAGAGGAGAAAGCACUUGAUGCGGCCGACCGGCCACCUCGUGGCCGCGACAGAGAGGCCUCCCGGCCCUCUACUCAAGCCGCACCCCGUACCAAGGCACGGGAACAUGCACCGGACUUACGAGACAUGAUGGAGGACAAGGCAAGGCAAACACGCUCGAUCUACGGAUCGCGUGGGCGCCCCACGGCUCGGGACGGUAACCGUCAUGCCGGCCACAAAUUCGGCAGGGCCGAACACAACUCAUUGGAGCUACGUCAUGAUAUCGCCCAGUACAGAGGCGCCGCACACCCACUAUGCUUCACAGACGAAAUAAUGGAUCAUCAAAUCCCCGAGGGUUUCAAAUCCGUAAACAUCAAAUCAUAUGAUGGCACAACAGAUCCUGCGGUAUGGAUCGAGGAUUAUCUCCUUCAUAUCCACAUGGCUCGCGGCGAUGAUUUCCACGCCAUCAAAUACCUCCCACUCAAGCUUAAAGGACCAGCUCGGCAUUGGCUUAACAGCUUGCCAACAGGAUCGAUCAGUUGUUGGGAGGACCCGGAAGCCGCAUUCCUCGACAAUUUCCAGGGCACUUAUGUGCGACCCCCAGACGCUGAUGACCUAAGUCACGUAAUUCAGCAGCCAGAGGAAUCGGCCAGGCAAUUCUGGACACGGUUCCUAACAAAGAAAAAUCAAAUAGUUGACUGUCGGGACGCUGAGGCCCUAGCAGCCUUCCAGCACAAUAUCCGUGACGAGUGGCUGGCCCGGCACCUUGGACAGGAAAAGCCGAAAUCUAUGGCAGCACUCACGACACUCAUGACCCGCUUUUGCGCGGGAGUGACACCUGGCUUGCCCGUAGCAACAAUAUGA